rnacentral:hammerhead_ribozyme from 1 species
AUCCAGCUGACGAGUCUCAAACAGGAUGAGAGGCGCAUCCUGGAC